UAACGUCUUGUGGUGCACCGGGAGUUC
rnacentral:sRNA from 1 species